rnacentral:rRNA from 1 species
GUUGUGGUUAAAAGCUCGUAGUUGAACCUUGGGCCUGGCUGGCCGGUCCGCCUCGCCGCGAGUACUGGCUCGGCCGGGCCUUUCCCCCUGUGGAACCCCAUGCCCUUCACUGGGCGUGGCGGGAAAACAGGACUUUUACUUUGAAAAAAUUAGAGUGCUCCAGGCAGGCCUAUGCUCGAAUACAUUAGCAUGGAAUAAUAGAAUAGGACGUGUGGUUCUAUUUUGUUGGUUUCUAGGACCGCCGUAAUGAUUAAUAGGGACAGUCGGGGGCAUCAGUAUUCAAUUGUCAGAGGUGAAAUUCUUGGAUUUAUUGAAGACUAACUACUGCGAAAGCAUUUGCCAAGGAUGUUUUCAUUAAUCAGGAACGAAAGUUAGGGGAUCGAAGACGAUCAGAUACCGUCGUAGUCUUAACCAUAAACUAUGCCGACUAGGGAUCGGACGAUGUUAUUUUUUGACUCGUUCGGCACCUUAUGAGAAAUCAAAGUGCUUGGGCUCCAGGGGGAGUAUGGUCGCAAGGCUGAAACUUAAAGAAAUUGACGGAAGGGCACCACCAGGGGUGGAGCCUGCGGCUUAAUUUGACUCAACACGGGGAAACUCACCAGGUCCAGACACAAUGAGGAUUGACAGAUUGAGAGCUCUUUCUUGAUUUUGUGGGUGGUGGUGCAUGGCCGUUCUUAGUUGGUGGAGUGAUUUGUCUGCUUAAUUGCGAUAACGAACGAGACCUUAACCUGCUAAAUAGCCCGUAUUGCUUUGGCAGUACGCUGGCUUCUUAGAGGGACUAUCGGCUCAGCCGAUGGAGUUUGAGCAUACAGUCUGUGAUGCCCUUAGAUGUCUGGGCGCACGCGCGCUACACUGAC